CCCUUAGAUGUCCGGGGCCGCACGCGCGCUACACUGAAGGAAUCAGCGUGGCUUUCUCCCUGGUCCGAAAGGACCGGGAAACCCGUUGAAUCUCCUUCGUGAUAGGGAUUGGGGCUUGAAAUUGUUCCCCAUGAACGAGGAAUUCCCAGUAAGCGCGAGUCAUAAGCUCGCGUUGAUUACGUCCCUGCCCUUUGUACACACCGCCCGUCGCUACUACCGAUUGAACGGUUUAGUGAGGGCCUCGGAUUGGUCUCGGCCCGCUCUUUACCGGGCGGCGCCGUUGGUCGAGAAGACGCUCGAACUUGAUCGUUUAGAGGAAGUAAAAGUCGUAACA
rnacentral:rRNA from 1 species